AUACAGAGGGUGCGAGCGUUAAUCGGAAUUACUGGGCGUAAAGCGCGCGUAGGCGGCUUAUUAAGUCAGAUGUGAAAUCCCCGGGCUCAACCUGGGAACUGCAUCUGGUACUGGGUAGCUAGAGUUUAGGAGAGGGAAGUAGAAUUUCAGGUGUAGCGGUGAAAUGCAUAGAGAUCUGAAGGAACACCAGUGGCGAAGGCGACUCCCUGGACUAGAACUGACGCUGAGGUACGAAAGCGUGGGUAGCAAACAGGAUUAGAAACCCCAGUAGUCC
rnacentral:rRNA from 1 species